UACGAACCGUGCAAACGUUAUUCGGAAUCACUGGGCAUAAAGGGCGCGUAGGCGGCUCCAAAAGUCAGGGGUGAAAUCCGGCAGCUUAACUGUCGCAGUGCCUUUGAUACUGUGGAGCUAGAGGGAGGUAGGGGUCUGUGGAACUUCCGGUGGAGCGGUGAAAUGCGUUGAUAUCGGAAGGAACGCCGGUGGCGAAAGCGACGGACUGGAUCUCUUCUGACGCUGAGGCGCGAAAGCCAGGGGAGCAAACGGG
rnacentral:rRNA from 1 species